rnacentral:rRNA from 1 species
AUACGUAGGGUGCAAGCGUUAAUCGGAAUUACUGGGCGUAAAGCGUGCGCAGGCGGUUCGGAAAGAAAGGUGUGAAAUCCCAGGGCUUAACCUUGGAACUGCACUUUUAACUACCGGGCUAGAGUACGUCAGAGGGGGGUAGAAUUCCACGUGUAGCAGUGAAAUGCGUAGAGAUGUGGAGGAAUACCGAUGGCGAAGGCAGCCCCCUGGGAUGAUACUGACGCUCAUGCACGAAAGCGUGGGGAGC